GGGGUGAAAGGCUAAUCAAGCCUGUGAUAGCUGGUUCUCCCCGAAAGCUAUUUAGGUAGCGCCUCGGACGAAUACCAUAGGGGUAGAGCACUGUUUCGGCUAGGGGGUCAUCCCGACUUACCAAACCGAUGCAAACUCCGAAUACCUAUGAGUACUAUCCGGGAGACAGACUGCGGGUGCUAACGUCCGUAGUCAAGAGGAAAACAUCCAGACCGCCAGCUAAGGCCCAAAAUCAUAGUUAAGUGGGAAACGAUGUGGGAAGGCAUAGACAGCUAGGAGGUUGGCUUAGAAGCAGCCACCCUUUAAAGAAAGCGUAAUAGCUCACUAGUCGAGUCGGCCUGCGCGGAAGAUGUAACGGGGCUAAAACUAUGUGCCGAAGCUGCGGAUUUGACUUUUAAGUCAAGUGGUAGGGGAGCGUUCUGUAAGCCGAUGAAGGUGUAUUGAGAAGUAUGCUGGAGGUAUCAGAAGUGCGAAUGCUGACGUGAGUAACGACAAAACGGGUGAAAAACCCGUUCGCCGAAAGACCAAGGGUUCCAGUCCAACGUUAAUCGGGGCUGGGUGAGUCGACCCCUAAGGCGAGGCCGAAAGGCGUAGUCGAUGGGAAAUUGGUUAAUAUUCCAAUACUUCUGUGUAAUGCGAUGAGAGGACGGAGAAGGUUAAGUCAGCCUGGCGUUGGUUGUCCAGGUGAAAGGAAGUAGGCAUGCAUCUUAGGCAAAUCCGGGGUGCUCUAUGCUGAGAUCUGAUAGCAAGCUGUACUUGUACAGCGAAGUGGCUGAUACCAUGCUUCCAGGAAAAGUCUCUAAGCUUCAGUUACACAGGAAUCGUACCCUAAACCGACACAGGUGGUCAGGUCGAGUAGACCAAGGCGCUUGAGAGAACUCUGCUGAAGGAACUAGGCAAAAUGGUACCGUAACUUCGGGAGAAGGUACGCUGUUGUUGGUGAUGGAACUUGCUUCCUGAGCUGAUGACAGCCACAGAAACCAGGCCGCUGCAACUGUUUAUUAAAAACAUAGCACUCUGCAAACACGAAAGUGGACGUAUAGGGUGUGAUGCCUGCCCGGUGCUGGAAGGUUAAUUGAUGGGGUUAGCGUAAGCGAAGCUCUUGAUCGAAGCCCCAGUAAACGGCGGCCGUAACUAUAACGGUCCUAAGGUAGCGAAAUUCCUUGUCGGGUAAGUUCCGACCUGCACGAAUGGCAUAAUGAUGGCGGCGCUGUCUCCAGCAGAGGCUCAGUGAAAUCGAAAUCGCUGUGAAGAUGCAGUGUACCCGCGGCUAGACGGAAAGACCCCGUGAACCUUUACUGCAGCUUGACAUUGAACUUUGACCUUACUUGUGUAGGAUAGGUGGGAGGCUUUGAAGUUGGAACGCUAGUUCCAAUGGAGCCGUCCUUGAAAUACCACCCUGGUAAUGUUGAGGUUCUAACUCUGCCCCGUAAUCCGGGGCGAGGACCAUGUCUGGUGGGUAGUUUGACUGGGGCGGUCUCCUCCUAAAGAGUAACGGAGGAGUACGAAGGUGCGCUCAGCGUGGUCGGAAAUCACGCGUAGAGUAUAAAGGCAAAAGCGCGCUUAACUGCGAGACCCACAAGUCGAGCAGGUACGAAAGUAGGUCUUAGUGAUCCGGUGGUUCUGUAUGGAAGGGCCAUCGCUCAACGGAUAAAAGGUACUCUGGGGAUAACAGGCUGAUACCGCCCAAGAGUUCAUAUCGACGGCGGUGUUUGGCACCUCGAUGUCGGCUCAUCUCAUCCUGGGGCUGAAGCAGGUCCCAAGGGUAUGGCUGUUCGCCAUUUAAAGAGGUACGCGAGCUGGGUUUAGAACGUCGUGAGACAGUUCGGUCCCUAUCUACCGUGGGCGCUGGAAAUUUGAGAGGAUCUGCUCCUAGUACGAGAGGACCAGAGUGGACGAACCUCUGGUGUACCGGUUGUGACGCCAGUCGCAUCGCCGGGUAGCUAUGUUCGGAAGGGAUAACCGCUGAAAGCAUCUAAGCGGGAAGCCUACCUCAAGAUAAGAUUUCCCUAGGACUUUAUGUCCUCUAAAGAGCCGUUCGAGACUAGGACGUUGAUAGGUUGGAUGUGGAAGCAUAGUGAUAUGUGAAGCUGACCAAUACUAAUUGCUCGUGAGGCUUGACUAU
rnacentral:rRNA from 1 species